GAUGAGCGCUGGCGGCGUGCCUAAUACAUGCAAGUAGAACGCUGAAGGAAGGAGCUUGCUCUUUCCGGAUGAGUUGCGAACGGGUGAGUAACGCGUAGGUAACCUGCCUGGUAGCGGGGGAUAACUAUUGGAAACGAUAGCUAAUACCGCAUAACAGUAGAUGUUGCAUGAUAUCUACUUAAAAGGUGCAAUUGCACCACUACCAGAUGGACCUGCGUUGUAUUAGCUAGUUGGUGAGGUAACGGCUCACCAAGGCGACGAUACAUAGCCGACCUGAGAGGGUGAUCGGCCACACUGGGACUGAGACACGGCCCAGACUCCUACGGGAGGCAGCAGUAGGGAAUCUUCGGCAAUGGACGGAAGUCUGACCGAGCAACGCCGCGGGAGUGAAGAAGGUUUUCGGAUCGUAAAGCUCUGUUGUAAGAGAAGAACGAGUGUGAGAGUGGAAAGUUCACACUGUGACGGUAUCUUACCAGAAAGGGACGGCUAACUACGUG
rnacentral:rRNA from 1 species